GCUUAGGUCCUGCGCAACGAAAGCUCAUGAACCCCGUCAGAUCCGGAAGGAAGCAGCGGUAAGUGAUCACUUUCGUGUGCCGCAGGGGUGCCUAAGCCGA
rnacentral:SRP_RNA from 1 species